AACUCCGGUGGAUAGAGAUGGGCACGCGCAAGAUUAGAUAGUUGGUGAGGUAACGGCUCACCAAGUCUGCGAUCUUUAGGGGGCCUGAGAGGGUGAUCCCCCACACUGGUACUGAGACACGGACCAGACUCCUACGGGAGGCAGCAGUGAGGAAUAUUGGACAAUGGGUGAGAGCCUGAUCCAGCCAUCCCGCGUGAAGGACGACGGCCCUAUGGGUUGUAAACUUCUUUUGUAUAGGGAUAAACCUACUCUCGUGAGAGUAGCUGAAGGUACUAUACGAAUAAGCACCGGCUAACUCCGUGCCAGCAGCCGCGGUAAUACGGAGGGUGCAAGCGUUAUCCGGAUUUAUUGGGUUUAAAGGGUCCGUAGGCGGAUCUGUAAGUCAGUGGUGAAAUCUCACAGCUUAACUGUGAAACUGCCAUUGAUACUGCAGGUCUUGAGUGUUAUUGAAGUAGCUGGAAUAAGUAGUGUAGCGGUGAAAUGCAUAGAUAUUACUUAGAACACCAA
rnacentral:rRNA from 1 species